AACGAACGCUGGCGGCGUGCUUAACACAUGCAAGUCGAACGCGAAAGGGACUUCGGUCCUGAGUAAAGUGGCGCACGGGUGAGUAACGCGUGGAUAAUCUGCCCAAUGGACUGGGAUAACAUCUCGAAAGGGGUGCUAAUACCGGAUAAGACCACGGGAUCUUUGGAUUCUGCGGUAAAAGGUGGGGACCUUCGGGCCUACCGUCAUUGGAUGAGUCCGCGUACCAUUAGCUAGUUGGUAGGGUAAUGGCCUACCAAGGCUACGAUGGUUAGCUGGUCUGAGAGGAUGAUCAGCCACACUGGAACUGAGACACGGUCCAGACUCCUACGGGAGGCAGCAGUGGGGAAUUUUGCGCAAUGGGGGAAACCCUGACGCAGCAACGCCGCGUGAGUGAUGAAGGCCUUCGGGUCGUAAAGCUCUGUCAGGGGGGAAGAAGUGCAGUGGUGCUAAUAUCGCCAUUGUUUGACGGUACCCUCAAAGGAAGCACCGGCUAACUCCGUGCCAGCCGCCGCGGUAA
rnacentral:rRNA from 1 species